ACACUUUGCCAAGUUGUUGAAUGCUCAGAAAAUUUCUAGAGUAUAAUGAUUCACUUGAAUAGGAAGAUCUGAUGU
rfam:Brassica rapa chromosome A6, whole genome shotgun sequence.